AGUGAACGCUGGCGGUAGGCCUAACACAUGCAAGUCGAACGGCAGCACAGUAAGAGCUUGCUCUUACGGGUGGCGAGUGGCGGACGGGUGAGGAAUACAUCGGAAUCUACUUUUUCGUGGGGGAUAACGUAGGGAAACUUACGCUAAUACCGCAUACGACCUACGGGUGAAAGCAGGGGAUCUUCGGACCUUGCGCGAUUGAAUGAGCCGAUGUCGGAUUAGCUAGUUGGCGGGGUAAAGGCCCACCAAGGCGACGAUCCGUAGCUGGUCUGAGAGGAUGAUCAGCCACACUGGAACUGAGACACGGCCCAGACUCCUACGGGAGGCAGCAGUGGGGAAUAUUGGACAAUGGGCGCAAGCCUGAUCCAGCCAUACCGCGUGGGUGAAGAAGGCCUUUGGGUUGUAAAGCCCUUUUGUUGGGAAAGAAAAGCAGCAGGUUAAUACCCCGCUGUUCUGACGGUACCCAAAGAAUAAGCACCGGCUAACUUCGUG
rnacentral:rRNA from 1 species